UACAGGGGGUGCAAACGUUGCUCGGAAUCAUUGGGCGUAAAGCGCACGUAGGCGGUUCGUUAUGUCGGAUGUGAAAGCCCUUGGCUUAACCGAGGAAGUGCAUCCGAAACUGGCGAGCUAGAGUACGAAAGAGGAUCGCGGAAUUCCCGGUGUAGAGGUGAAAUUCGUAGAUAUCGGGAGGAACACCGGUGGCGAAGGCGACUCGCUGGACAAGUAUUGACGCUGAGGUGCGAAAGCGUGGGGAGCAAACAGG
rnacentral:rRNA from 1 species